UACGAAGGGGGCUAGCGUUGUUCGGAAUUACUGGGCGUAAAGCGCACGUAGGCGGACUAUUAAGUCAGGGGUGAAAUCCCGGGGCUCAACCCCGGAACUGCCUCUGAUACUGGUAGUCUCGAGUCCGGAAGAGGUGAGUGGAAUUCCGAGUGUAGAGGUGAAAUUCGUAGAUAUUCGGAGGAACACCAGUGGCGAAGGCGGCUCACUGGUCCGGAACUGACGCUGAGGUGCGAAAGCGUGGGGAGCAAACAGG
rnacentral:rRNA from 1 species